UGGACGUUUAAGCACUUGUGGGUUCUUUAUUUAUGCCUAUUACACCAUAUCUGAAGUCUAAAUUUCCCAGAAAACCACUUAGGCAGCCUGCAGGUCAUAUUUUUCUGAUGUGGAAAGGACACGAUGAUGGGUACCGGCUACCGCCCUGUUUCCCAUCUGUUGUUUUGGAAGGGCAGCCAGAGUUUUGAUGUGGUCAAACCAGCCAAGUGGCACGCUCUCUGCAUGCCUUGACUGCAGAAAUCCUGGGAAUUCUGCGGAGUGGAAAUCAGGAGUUAAUCUUGGAGUGGUUUGUUGAUUCUUUCCACGCGGAUCAUGCUUCUUAUUUCACUUCACAUGGCAUGACCCAGGGUUUAUUUCUGUUUAGCAUCUCGUGCGUUCUUUCUUCAUUUGUGCAACGCUGGUGGGUUUAGUGACACGACAAAUAAAGGGCAACACUGUUGGGCCCUGGGUGUGAUGCGGAGGCAUGCCAUUUAAGAGCACGGAUACCUUUGGAAAGCUGUGGAAGGACAUUGUUUAUUUGCGGACAGCUUGGAAAAUAUCAGGAAACACAACUGAAAGCCUUUGCUGCUUUCGAGGCUGACAUAGGAGCCUGUGUUCUACCCCUUUGAAUGGCAUAUUUGUUAUAUUCAGAGCUUUCCUACUGUCACGAUUUAAUUAACUCUUUUGUAUAAAACCCACCCGAUCAAUCUAAACUACUGUUAACAAAAUCAGAAACUCAGAAGCUGAUUUAAGUGAAAGGAGAAGACAGCCAGCGAGCACUGAGCAGUGAGCGCGUGUAGCUGACAAAGCCACCUGUCCAUGCUCUGAUCAGAUAAAUAUUGUUCCUGAUGGAGGCGUUAGAAGUACAUUUGUUUGCUUUUUCAUGCCCAAACUGAAUUUGCUUGUUACACAGUGACUUAAUAGCUGCUGCAUUUCAGGAGUUCCUCUGAUGGUCUGUAUCCUGGAGGGAUGAAGAUGGUGGAGUGAGCAGGGCGUUUCAUUUGACAUAUUAUCGUGGUAUGGAAGUCAGCAGGGACUUUCCUCUUUCUAACAAAAGUAACAGCAUGCCUAUGCCCCCAAAUACAAGUGUUUUGAUAACAGUCAUGUGAAUAAAGGUCAUUCUUUUCUUUAAGCCUA